AGAGUUUGAUCAUGGCUCAGAGUGAACGCUGGCGGCAGGCCUAAUACAUGCAAGUCGAACGGCAGCACAGCAGAGCUUGCUCUGUGGGUGGCGAGUGGCGGACGGUGAGGAAUACGUGGGAAUCUGCCCAGUCGUGGGGGAUAACGUAGGGAAACUUACGCUAAUACCGCAUGCGCCCUUCGGGGGAAAGCCGGGGACCUUCGGGCCUGGCGCGAUUGGAUGAGCCCACGUCGGAUUAGCUAGUUGGCGGGGUAAAGGCCCACCAAGGCGACGAUCCGUAGCUGGUCUGAGAGGAUGAUCAGCCACACUGGAACUGAGACACGGUCCAGACUCCUACGGGAGGCAGCAGUAGGGAAUAUUGGACAAUGGGCGCAAGCCUGAUCCAGCCAUGCCGCGUGAGUGAAGAAGGCCCUCGGGUUGUAAAGCUCUUUUGUCCGGAAAGAAAAGCGCCGGGUUAAUACCCUGGUGUCCUGACGGUACCGGAAGAAUAAGCACCGGCUAACUUCGUG
rnacentral:rRNA from 1 species